rnacentral:rRNA from 1 species
AUACGUAGGGGGCUAGCGUUAUCCGGAAUUACUGGGCGUAAAGGGUGCGUAGGUGGUUUCUUAAGUCAGAAGUGAAAGGCUACGGCUCAACCGUAGUAAGCUUUUGAAACUAAGAGACUUGAGUGCAGGAGAGGAGAGUAGAAUUCCUAGUGUAGCGGUGAAAUGCGUAGGUAUUAGGAGGAAUACCAGUUGCGAAGGGGGCUCUCGGGAAUUUAACGGACACUGGGGCACGAAAGCGUGGGGAGAAAACAGGAUGAGAUACCCUGGGAGCCCGCGCCGUAAACGAAGAGUACUAGCUGUCGGGGGUUACCCCCCUCGGUGGCGCAGCUAACGCAUUAAGUACUCCGCCUGGGAAGUACGCUCGCAAGAGUGAAACUCAAAUGAAUUGACGGGG